GACGAACGCUGGCGGCGUGCUUAACACAUGCAAGUCGAACGGUGAAGCGCUUUCCUUUUUGGCUGGUGUGGACGAGUGGCGAACGGGUGAGUAACACGUCAGUAACCUGCCCCCUUCUUCUGGAUAACCGCAUGAAAGUGUGGCUAAUACGGGAUAUCCUGCGCCUGCUGCUUGGUGGGGGUGGGGGAGAUGGUGCCUUUGGGUGCUUUCGGUGGGGGUUGGGCUCGCGGCCUAUCCGCUUGUUGGUGGGGUGAUGGCCUGCCAAGGAGGUGCCGGGUAGCCGGCCUGAGGGUGGCGGCGGUCACAGGGGGACUGAGACACGGCCGAGACUCAUACGGGAGGCAGCAGUGGGGGAGAUUGCACUGUGGGCGCAAGCCUGAUGCAGCGACGCCGCGUGAGGGGUGGAGGCCUUGGGGUUGUCGACCUCUUGGGUCAGUGAAGCAGGCCUGCGCCUUGUGGGUGGGGUGACGGUAGCUGGAUAAGAAGCGCCGGCUAACUACGUG
rnacentral:rRNA from 1 species